AUUGAACGCUGGCGGCAGGCCUAACACAUGCAAGUCGAACGAGUGGCGGACGGGUGAGUAAUGUCUGGGAAACUGCCCGAUGGAGGGGGAUAACUACUGGAAACGGUAGCUAAUACCGCAUACCAUCGGAUGUGCCCAGAUGGGAUUAGCUUGUAGGUGAGGUAACGGCUCACCUAGGCGACGAUCCCUAGCUGGUCUGAGAGGAUGACCAGCCACGCGGGAAUGUAGGCACGGUCCAGACUCCUUUGGGAGGCAGGAGUGGGGAAUAUUGCACAAUGGUGGCAAGCCUGAUGCAGCCAGUCCGCGUGUAUGAAGAAGGCCUUCUGGGUGUAAAGUACUGUCAGCGGGGAGGCGUUACCCGCAGAAGAAGCACCGGCUAACUCCGUGCCAGCAGCCGCUGUAAUAC
rnacentral:rRNA from 1 species